UACAGAGGGUGCAAGCGUUAAUCGGAAUUACUGGGCGUAAAGGGUGCGCAGGCGGUUAUAUAAGACAGAUGUGAAAUCCCCGGGCUCAACCUGGGAACUGCGUUUGUGACUGUAUGACUAGAGUACGGUAGAGAGGGGUGGAAUUCCUGGUGUAGCAGUGAAAUGCGUAGAUAUCAGGAGGAACAUCGAUGGCGAAGGCAGCCCCUUGGACCUGUACUGACGCUCAUGCACGAAAGCGUGGGGAGCAAACAGG
rnacentral:rRNA from 1 species